rnacentral:rRNA from 1 species
UACCCAGCGAUGGGAUGCGAAUCUCGAAAGCCUGUCUCAGUUCGGAUUGGAGGCUGAAACCCGCCUCCAUGAAGUUGGAUUCGCUAGUAAUCGCGCAUCAGCCAUGGCGCGGUGAAUACGUUCCCGGGCCUUGUACACACCGCCCGUCAAGCCAUGGAAGCUGGGGGUGCCUGAAGUUCGUGACCGGAAGGAGCGACCUAGGGCAAAACCGGUGACUGGGGCUAAGUCGUAACAAGGUAUC